GGGUGUAACUGGGCUCCCUUUCUGUUCCUUGCAGGGCAAGAAUUAUGCCCACNAAUCAUACCGUGUUCCAACCAGCAAGAAAGCANCCAAGAAAGCUUCCCCAGCAAACGUGGUCAAGAGCGGGAAAUCUUCUCCCCACAGCAAAACCACUCUGGCUAGCACAAGCUCAUCCAUGCCUGCCUCGGAAGAGGCAGUUCAGCCUUCAUCAGANAGNGUCCGGGAGGUGGAGGAGAUNGACUCUUCCUACAGCAAACACACCAAGAAGACGAAGGAGAAGCUGCAGUUCUUCUUUGCAAUCUGNAGGAGGACUACAGGAAAUCACUUCAUAAACCUGCUCAUCAUUUAUGGAAAGACACACCUACCAUGUCAAGAAAUGUGGAUACAAAGAGUGAACCAUCCUUGAAGCAAAAAGGCAAAAGGUAGGGAGCCUCCUGAGCAACCAACCAGGCUAAUUUCCACCAAAUCUAAGGGGGACCCUAAAUGUAAAAGAACAGCUCUUAUAACUGGGGCCACUGGUCUUGGAGCAACAUUUAGGAUUGCUCGCAAGAAUUUCUACCAUCAGUUGUUU
rnacentral:lncRNA from 1 species